CCUACGGGUGGCAGCAGUGAGGAAUAUUGCACAAUGGGCGAAAGCCUGAUGCAGCAACGCUGCGUGAGCGAUGAAGGCCUUCGGGUCGUAAAGCUCUGUCCUCAAGGAAGAUAAUGACGGUACUUGAGGGCGAAGCCCCGGCUAACUACGUGCCAGCAGCCGCGGUAAUACGUCGGGGGCUAGCGUUAUCCGGUAUUACUGGGCGUAAAGGGUGCGUAGGUGGUUUCUUAAGUCAGAGGUGAAAGGCUACGGCUCAACCGUAGUAAGCCUUUGAAACUGGGGAACUUGAGUGGGGGAGAGGAAAGCGGAAUUCCUAGUGUAGCGGUGAAAUGCGUAGAUAUUAGGAAGAACACCAGUUGCGAAGGCGGCUCUCUGGACUGUAACUGACACUGAGGCACGAAAGCGUGGGGAGCAAACAGGAUUAGAUACCCGUGUAGUC
rnacentral:rRNA from 1 species